UGGCUCGAAAGGCAACCCGUUUACUUUAUUGUUACGGAUGUAGAAUGAAGGAAGUCAGAAGCGUGAGGACUUAAUGCCAGCCGUUGCGUUACUUUGACUGCUGUGAAAACAACCAAAUAUUAACAUUUAUAUUUCCUGUAUAAGGUAGUGUUUUAUUAAAAUAGUCGAACACUGAUUGUUAAGCUGCCUUUUGAUCACACGCGUUAUCUCGUUCCCAAUGUUCAUUUGAGAGAAGCAUUGUUGUUUACAAGGCCUCGGAUAUCCGCGGUCGAAAUUAGCGAGCUACGCUAACGCAGCAAACAUCAUCCCGGGCAGGAACGCGGGGCCUAGGCGGGCUGUGGUAUUGGACCGCAGCAACGAGGAGCAUCCGGCCGUCCCAUGAUGGUGUGCGAGCUCUUCCUGCUGACCUCCAUCUGGUUUCUCUUUGUUAUCUUCUGGAUGGAGACCAUAAGUGUCUGGCUCUUCCUCUGCAAUUUCUACCAGGACCGAGCUUUUUAUCACUGGGGAGAUGGGGUCUUUGCUGAUGACCCAGGUCAAAUGCUGUACAUGCUAGGCAGGGUGGACGGGUCAGGGCGGAUGCACACCUGAGUCAGGAGAAGGAGGAGGAGGAGGAGGGCAGACUGGGAGGGGAGUGUCCCUGGGGCGGCUGCACGUAAAGGUGGAAGAAUGGGAGCUCACUGCCGCACACUGACUCGCAGGUGACCCUCGUCUGGCAGGGACAGGGACACUGUGUGGGACAGACUGGAUGGUCGGGCACAGAUUGCCCUGCACGGAACAGGACUAUGGGCCCAGCAGGUGCUGGGGGUGUGAGCGAUGCCCCACCCAUGUGUACACAGCCCCGCCUAUGCAUUCAUAGCCCCGACCAUGCUUACCCUGCUCCAUCCAUGUUUACACAGCCACCCGGUUUGAACUGACUCACUUUUCCUUUCACAGUGCCUCAUUGGUAAUACCAGAAUGAAACACACGCAUCAGAAGUUGCAAAGGAGGGUUUAUACCCCGUGCAUUAGCAUUAAUGAAGAAAGGGAAAUAUGUGUUAAUUUUCUGUGGAUUUAGGAUUUCUUAAUAUCAGUUGACACUUGGGAAUUGAGUACUGAGGUGGGAGUUUUUGAUCAAAGAAUCAGUUGGAGAUUUUUUUUUUUUUUUUUUUUUUUGCAUCUAAUUUUUCUAGGCUGUUAAAUAUUGACGGUCAUGCACAAUUUGUUUUUCAUAAAUUGUAUUGCUAUGGUUUUUUUUUGUUUGCUUUGUCCUGGCUUAGUUCACCAUGGAUGUAAGAGUGCAUUACCCUGCUGUAAAUGAUGGGUAGGUAUCUAACAUAGCAUUUCUUAAACAUUUUCCUUCAUAUAAUUUUCUGUGGAUUAUCACUGUGAAAGGUAUCAAUUCUGUGUUAUCACAGUAACACUUUAGUUGGGUUAAAACUUAAAUAAUGCUGAUCUUCAUUUGGAGAAUAUGGUAUGCUAAUUUGGGAAGGAGCUUUUACACUUCUCAGAGAAUUCCUUUUAGGUGCAAGCAGAUGAGGGUUUAUGAUUGGGAGUAACUGAGUGUGUAGGAGCUACGUUCUAGGGAUAGGCUCUGAAAGACAUAUUGUGAUGGGUAUGUGGUGAAUGUGAUCCUGCAGAGUGAAAAGAGACCUGCAGGAUCUAGUUUGGCCCGAUCACACUGAAACCAGAAUUGAGGAGAUGCCAGUUUGAUGCCGCAUUGUCCCCGGCUGGUUCCGGGUUUUCACCGCACAGGCUGAUAUAGAACUGUGAAACGCACAUAUGUGACUGUGCUCUGUUGUAAAGGCCUGGCAAAAACGAGACCCAUUGACAUUAAUGUAGGCAUCAAACAACCAGCGUCCCUUACUGCACGUACUGAGGCUGCUCAUUUUCCAGUGAGGGUAAAAAAGGUUUAACUCGUCAUUGGAAGGUCAGCUGCCACUACGCCGUUGCUACAGUGGUCCACUGGCUUUGAAUUUAAAAACUGCUGCAGUGUGAUCCAAGUAAGAAUGUUUGCAAUACACUAAACGUACCUGGUUAAGUUGACAAUGAGAUUAACUUGACAUAUUUUGUCCAAGUUUGUUUUUUUCUGUUAGGUCUGUCAAAUGUUUUUACAGAUUUGUAUCUUGGUUUGUCACAGUGUUGGGCCCAAGAAGCCAAACUGUAUUUUUCCCGUAUUUUCCGAUGUAUGCUGUGAGGAAAGAAAAGCCAGGUAUCGCUUGGCAUGAGCAGUUUCAAGCAAAUUUGAAAAUAACAAAGUAGGCUGUCUCUAUUCAAUACAAAUUUUUCUGCAACAAAAUUGAAAAUCAAAAAUUACAUUUCAUUUGUUUUAGAACCAGUUUGAAUCUUUUUCUUUCAGACUGAGAUUUUGAAACACUUUCAUACUUUUUUAUUUGCCCCAAAGAAUAAAGAAGUUCUAUAAAUCUAUACAUAAUUCAGUGCAUGAAUACAUUUUUGUCGGUAGUACAUAUUUGUUCCUUUUGAUAUUUUUAGGGUAUGAAGCACCUGCACAAUGUUGGGGCUGUAUGGUCAUUGUGGGAAUGAUCUUGUAAUUGUAGCAUCAGCUAUCUCCAGGCAGCUCAUUGGUUCUUAGUCCUGGUUCUGGUGAAUCACUGUCAUCUUCUCGUUCUCCAUUUUGCACAGAAUUUAUUAUUGGUGAUGGAAAAUCUUAAUUUCUUAAUGUCUUAUUUUAUUUUGGAAUGAAACUAUUAUAGUAGAUCACCAAUCUGUGCACAAGUACAUACUUGGCACAAUAAAGUCAGUAAAAACACAUUCAUACUAAAUAAAUGCAAUUAAUGAGAUAAAAUAUCUGAUCAGUGUUUGUCAGAUCUUGUCAAAUUUUCUUGUUACAUAGUCUUGCUACUGUAACAGAAUUAAAAUAAAAGUUGAUUUUCAUUAAGGCAGAGUGUGACUAUUUAUUGUGCCUGGUAUAAAUUGUGCCCAAAUACAUGUAAAAGUGUUUUUAUUCCCUUAAAAAUAUUCAAAAAGCCUUCAAGAUGUUAAUGACUUAUAUCCAUACACAUUCACUGUGUAAGAAAGUAUAUUUUAGCCACUGAUUGAUGCUUAAUUAGAUCUGUUAACUGGCAUGUCCACUGUGAAUGAGUGUGUUUGUGCCUACAGAAAGUCACGUCUAAAGAACCACCUUUAACACUUAAUUUAUGUCCCUUUACACAUUUGUGUAAUUACCUAAGAAAUUCAUUGAAUGAGGUUAAAAAGGUGGAAUUUGACUUAAAUGUGUUUGUUGUUAAUACCCAUUGCUUGCAUCAAGAAGCACAAAUGCUUCUCUGUCGAGUACUGCACAGAAUACACUGCUGAUGGACUGUGAAUAAAUGGCUAAUCCUGAUCAGUGCUCAUUGAACUAGUGAAGCUAGAAGCUGGAACUGAAAUUAGCAUUAAUGGGCACUGGGCCCUGCAGACCACGACUGAGAAACUUGGGUAAUAGGAACAUUCUAUUAACGUCUUUUAAACAGAGGGAAAAAGGCACCUGCUCAGAAAGUUCUGGAAUGAAGCUUGAGGACAAUGGAAAAAGUGCAUUUGUGGAGAAGGUAGCAUGUAAGAACUAUUUUUUCAAGUGCAAUGUUUUUUGUAAUCUUUUUCGUAAUUAUGGAAAAUGAACAUGAUUGUAAAAAAUAUAUAAAAUAUGCAAUAAAAUAUAUCAAUGUCUGCAACAGCA